GAGGGCCUCCUUUUGGAGCAUU
rnacentral:miRNA from 8 species